AUUGAACGCUGGCGGCAUGCCUUACACAUGCAAGUCGAACGGUAACGGGCCUUCGGGUGCCGACGAGUGGCGAACGGGUGAGUAAUACAUCGGAACGUGCCCGAUCGUGGGGGAUAACGAGGCGAAAGCUUUGCUAAUACCGCAUACGAUCUACGGAUGAAAGCAGGGGACCGCAAGGCCUUGCGCGGACGGAGCGGCCGAUGGCAGAUUAGGUAGUUGGUGGGAUAAAAGCUUACCAAGCCGACGAUCUGUAGCUGGUCUGAGAGGAUGAUCAGCCACACUGGGACUGAGACACGGCCCAGAGUCCUACGGGAGGCAGCAGUGGGGAAUUUUGGACAAUGGGCGCAAGCCUGAUCCAGCCAUGCCGCGUGCAGGAUGAAGGCCUUCGGGUUGUAAACUGCUUUUGUACGGAACGAAAAGCCUUCUUUUAAUACAGGAGGGUCAUGACGGUACCGUAAGAAUAAGCACCGGCUAACUACGU
rnacentral:rRNA from 1 species